AGUGAACGCUGGCGGUAGGCCUAACACAUGCAAGUCGAACGGCAGCACAGUAAGAGCUUGCUCUUACGGGUGGCGAGUGGCGGACGGGUGAGGAAUACAUCGGAAUCUACUUUUUCGUGGGGGAUAACGUAGGGAAACUUACGCUAAUACCGCAUACGACCUACGGGUGAAAGCAGGGGAUCUUCGGACCUUUCGCGAUUGAAUGAGCCGAUGUCGGAUUAGCUAGUUGGCGGGGUAAAGGCCCACCAAGGCGACGAUCCGUAGCUGGUCUGAGAGGAUGAUCAGCCACCCUGGAACUGAGACACGGUCCAGACUCCUACGGGAGGCAGCAGUGGGGAAUAUUGGACAAUGGGCGCAAGCCUGAUCCAGCCAUACCGCGUGGGUGAAGAAGGCCUUCGGGUUGUAAAGCCCUUUUGUUGGGAAAGAAAAGCAGCAGGUUAAUACCCCGCUGUUCUGACGGUACCCAAAGAAUAAGCACCGGCUAACUUCGUG
rnacentral:rRNA from 1 species